rnacentral:rRNA from 1 species
CCCUUAGAUGUUCUGGGCCGCACACGCGCUACACUGAAGGAGGCAGCGUGUACUCCUGGAUCGAAAGAUUUGGGUAACCCGCGAAUCUCCUUCGUGCUAGGGAUUGAGGUUUGCAAUUAUCCUUCAUGAACGAGGAAUUCCCAGUAAGUGCAAGUCAUAAGCUUGCGCUGACUACGUCCCUGCCCUUUGUACACACCGCCCGUCGCUACUACCGAUUGAAUGAUUUAGUGAGGACUUCGGACUGGGAUCGAUGCGGCUUUCGGGCUGCGUCGGUAUUCUGGAAAGAUGUCCAAACUGUAUCAUUUAGAGGAAGUAAAAGUCGUAACA